GUCGCGCCCUCUGUUUCCUGCCUCUACCACGCCAUCGCUCUAGGCUGCCGGCGAGUCGCCACUCCACCGCGCUCACCGGAGGUGCCUCCGGCCUCCUCCUCGCAUGCCGCCACACCCGCGCCGCAUCCUCGCUUACACGCUCGCCCCGUCCCAUGCUCGCCCCUCCGCCGCAAUGUGACGGCCUUUCGUGUGCUCAGCGCCGGUGCGCUCAGGGCGUUUGGCGAAAUGCCGACCCGGAUGCCGGUUCUUGGACUGCGGGUGGACUCGCGGAGCAGGCGCAUUCUGAAGCGUGGGCGUAUGUGCCGAGGCGGCGAGGCGGGUGGUUUCUUGGCCGCGUGUAAUCCUUGGACGUGGUACUGGAGAAGGAGAAGAUCUGUUUAAAGGGCAGUCUGGGUGGACGUAGCUCCCUCUUGCGCAGCGUUCGGGGAAGGGUCCGACAACUUUGGGCCUAUUGUACGCAGCCUUUUCCUACAUUUCUGUAAGAGGCUGUUUCGAACAACUCACAAGGCAACAGCUUUACCGCUGCGCCCCUUUCAGAAGAUGUGUUUCUGAAAGGAAAAUAAAAACAGUUGGGUAACGACUU